AACGCACAUUGCGCCCGCCAGUAUUCUGGCGGGCAUGCCUGUUCGAGCGUCAUUUCAACCAUCAAGCGCCUCGCUUGUGUUGGGGCCCUGCGGCUGCCGCAGGCCCCCAAAUCCAGUGGCGGGCUCGUCGUCGUACCGAGUGCAGUAAACAUCCUCGCUCAGGGAACCCGACGGGUGCCGGCCGUGAAACCCCCUCUCCUUAAGGUUGACCUCGGAUCAGGUAGGAAUACCCGCUGAACUUAA
rnacentral:misc_RNA from 1 species